rnacentral:rRNA from 1 species
AUGUUUUACUCAAAUAUGGCUUCCUGUCUUUGCUUUGAUUGGUGGCGUUCAGUUGCGCACCGUGUCUUAAUGGGAUCAAAAAGGUCUGCCCAGGAUUUUAUUGGGUCCAGAUAUCUCAUUUUAGUCAUACAGACGGUGGUCAAUUUGGUAAUCUUGUUUGAUCAUGAGGUAUUUAAUUUAGGCCCCCGUCCUACACUUUCAAACAACUUUUAUUUAGAGAAAAUAAACAACGUUAGCAACAUAUAUUUUGAAAGAAAGAGCACUGCUAUGCGGACGACAAUCGCCAGCCGAAAUUUGCACGACAAGCUAUAUCACACCAUCCAUGGACAUGUUUAA